UCUUUUUCUUUGUUGGCCAAACUUGUCGGCCAUCCUUAUCUUCUCCUCAUUUUGUCAUUUUCCUUUAGGAUCCGUUAUAAAAGGAUCACUUGUAAUUGGAAAGACAAGCUUGGAUACACUGCCUUCUCUCUCUUGUAAAAAAUCCACUAAAUAAAAAUUUUGAAGUUUGCUACAUCUCUCUCUCCUCUGGUUACGACACAGCUCCCUUAGGAGCAUGGGUUAACACCCCUGGAUCGUCGACACACACGAGUCCGUCCACAUGUGUGCUUGCCAACAUAGGGUCAUUUAUGGGAUUUCAAAUUUAUGCCCUUCCUAGCUGUUGUACUUAAGUGCUUUGGUAUCUGUAUUGUUUCUCCUUUGGACAAAAAAACUAAGCUAUCUUUUCCUUAUUUAUUUCGUAUCCUUGUACUGACUUAUUUUGAGGGGGAAAGGUAGACCCUACUUGGAAAAAAUUUACGCGCUCAAUUAGGAACCGUGUUAGACACAUUAUUGUUUCUCUUCACUAAAUGUGGGCCCCACUUGAAUAAUGUAUACCACGCGCUACUUUGCAAUGA